CCGCAUCCUGAGGGAGAAAGCGGGGGACCUUCGGGCCUCGCGCUACUGGAGCGGCUGAUGUCGGAUUAGCUAGUUGGUGAGGUAAAGGCUCACCAAGGCGACGAUCCGUAGCUGGUCUGAGAGGAUGAUCAGCCACACUGGGACUGAGACACCGGCCCAGACUCCUACGGGGAGGCAGCAGGUGGGGUAAUUUUGGACAAUGGGGGCAACCCUGAUCCAGCCAUGCCGCGUGAGUGAAGAAGGCCUUCGGGUUGUAAAGCUCUUUCAGGUGGAAAGAAAUCACUACCCCGAAUACGGGUGGUGGAUGACGGUACCAUCAGAAGAAGCACCGGCUAACUACGUG
rnacentral:rRNA from 1 species